rnacentral:rRNA from 1 species
GACGAACGCUGGCGGCGUGCUUAACACAUGCAAGUCGAGCGAUGAAGUUUCUUCGGAAAUGGAUUAGCGGCGAACGGGUGAGGAACACGUGAAGAAUCUGCCCUCCACUUUGGGAUAACACAGGGAAACCUGUGCUAAUACCGAAUAUCGAAACAUAAGUGGCAUCACUGAGUUUUGAAAGAAUUUCGGUGGAGGAUGACUUCGCGGCCUAUCAGCUAGUUGGUGAGGUAAUGGCUCACCAAGGCAACGACGGGUAGCCGGCCUGAGAGGCGACCGGCCACACUGGGACUGAGACACGGCCCAGACUCCUACGGGAGGCAGCAGUGGGGAAUAUUGGGCAAUGGAGGAAACUCUGACCCAGCGACGCCGCGUGCGGGAUGAAGGCCUUCGGGUUGUAAACCGCUUUCAGUAGGGAAGAAGCGAAAGUGACGGUACCUACAAAAGAAGCACCGGCUAACUAUGUGCCAGCCGCCGCGGUAA